rnacentral:rRNA from 1 species
UACGUAGGGUGCAAGCAUUAAUCGGAAUUACUGGGCGUAAAGCGUGCGCAGGCGGUGAUGUAAGACAGGUGUGAAAUCCCCGGGCUUAACCUGGGAACUGCAUUUGUGACUGCAUCGCUGGAGUGCGGCAGAGGGGGAUGGAAUUCCGCGUGUAGCAGUGAAAUGCGUAGAUAUGCGGAGGAACACCGAUGGCGAAGGCAAUCCCCUGGGCCUGCACUGACGCUCAUGCACGAAAGCGUGGGGAGCAAACAGG